GAUGAACGCUGGCGGCGUGCCUAAUACAUGCAAGUCGAGCGAACAGACGAGGAGCUUGCUCCUCUGACGUUAGCGGCGGACGGGUGAGUAACACGUGGAUAACCUACCUAUAAGACUGGGAUAACUUCGGGAAACCGGAGCUAAUACCGGAUAAUAUAUUGAACCGCAUGGUUCAAUAGUGAAAGACGGUUUUGCUGUCACUUAUAGAUGGAUCCGCGCCGCAUUAGCUAGUUGGUAAGGUAACGGCUUACCAAGGCAACGAUGCAUAGCCGACCUGAGAGGGUGAUCGGCCACACGGGAACUGAGACACGGUCCAGACUCCUGCGGGAGGCAGCAGUAGGGAAUCUUACGCAAUGGGGGAGAGCCUGACAGAGCAACGCCGCGUGAGUGAUGAAGGUCUUCGGAUCGUAAAACUCUGUUAUUAGGGGGGAACAAAUGUGUAAGUAACUAUGCACGUCUUGACGGUACCUAAUCAGAAAGCCACGGCUAACUACGUG
rnacentral:rRNA from 1 species